GGGCAGGAUCAGGACUCGUUUGGAGGGAACUUCACCGAGCCCUUUGUAGGGAAUAUCACAGAUCUGAAUGUCUGGGACACAGCCUUGGAGCAGAGGCAGUUCCAUGCCCUGAAUGGCUGCUCAUCUUUGACCCAGGACGCUAUCUUUACCUGGAGUAUAGAUAAUAUGACCCGUCACCCAGUGGUCAGAGAGGUGCCAGCCAUGCUGUUCUGCCCAGCGGUCCACAGGCAGAGGGAGAUGCAGGGCUGCAGGACUCUGGAGGGCUGGUCUAGCCAACAGCUCCCCCUGUAUGACUCUGCAGACUGCUCCACCACACUGCCCUUCAUCUGCAGGACCAGCAGGGAGAGCUAUGUUAAGAUGAAGGAGUUGAGUGAGUCUCAGCGCUCCCAUCCUAGUCCCUUCAUGCACCACCUCAUGCAGAUCUCCAAUGGAACGCAGG
ensembl:lncRNA